rnacentral:rRNA from 1 species
GAUGAACGCUAGCUACAGGCUUAACACAUGCAAGUCGAGGGGAAACGAUAGAGAAAGCUUGCUUUUUCUAGGCGUCGACCGGCGCACGGGUGAGUAACGCGUAUCCAACCUGCCCACCACUUGGGAAUAACCUUGCGAAAGUAAGACUAAUACCCAAUGAUAUCUCUAGAAGACAUCUGAAGGAGAUUAAAGAUUUAUCGGUGAUGGAUGGGGAUGCGUCUGAUUAGCUUGUUGGCGGGGUAACGGCCCACCAAGGCGACGAUCAGUAGGGGUUCUGAGAGGAAGGUCCCCCACAUUGGAACUGAGACACGGUCCAAACUCCUACGGGAGGCAGCAGUGAGGAAUAUUGGUCAAUGGGCGAGAGCCUGAACCAGCCAAGUAGCGUGCAGGAUGACGGCCCUAUGGGUUGUAAACUGCUUUUAUAAGGGAAUAAAGUGAGCCUCGUGAGGCUUUUUGCAUGUACCUUAUGAAUAAGGACCGGCUAAUUCCGUGCCAGCCGCCGCCGUAA